rnacentral:rRNA from 1 species
UCCGUAGGUGAACCUGCGGAAGGAUCAUUGAAUUAUUAAAACCACAAUGUGAACCUAUCUGUUCCGUGCCUUUGCUGCCAGCAAGGCAAUUGGGCUCUGCCUGAUUGUGCUUUAGUAAGCUGGUGCGAGUAAAUUUUACUUCGCAUCAGUGGCGCUCUGGCAUGCUUAUACACCAGUGCUAACCACUGUCAAAACCAAAAUCUGAAGCUUUGAUUGCUAUUAACUGGCAAUCUUAACCAAAGACAACUCUCAACAACGGAUAUCUUGGCUCUCGCAACGAUGAAGAACGCAGCGAAAUGCGAUACGUAGUGUGAAUUGCAGAAUUCCGUGAACCAUCGAAUCUUUGAACGCAUAUUGCGCUCGAGCCCUCGGGCAAGAGCAUGUCUGCCUCAGCGUCGGUUUAUACCCUCACCCCUCUCUCCUUCCCGGAGAGUUGGUCAGCUCUCAGUUGACCUCAGGGGUGGAUCUGGCUUUCCCAAUUGGUUUACUCCGAUUGGGUUGGCUGAAGCUUAGAGGCUUAAGCAAGGACCCGAUAUGGGCCUCAACUGGAUAGGUAGCACCGGCUUCUGCCGACUACACGAAGUUGUCGCUUGUGGACUUUGCUAGAGGCCAAGCAGGAAACAUGCUCUGCAUGUCUAAAACCUUCGACCUGAGCUCAGGCAAGGCUCCCCCCGAAACUUAAGCAUAUCAAUAAGCGGAGGA